rnacentral:rRNA from 1 species
AAUGAACGUUGGCGGCGUGGAUUAGGCAUGCAAGUCGUACGGGUCGGUGUAGCAAUACAACGGCAAGUGGCGAAAGGGAGAGUAACACGUAGAUACCUACCCUCUGGUCGGGGAUACCGCGGCAUAACCGCAAGUAAUACCCGAUAAAAUCUCCGGAUCAAAGGUGUGAUUCCGCCGGAGGAGGGGUCUGCGUUCUAUCAGCUUGUUGGUGAGGUAAUGGCUCACCAAGGCUAAGACGGAUACGGGGUGUGAGAGCAUGCCCCCGCUCACUGGGACUGAGACACUGCCCAGACACCUACGGGUGGCUGCAGUCGAGAAUCUUCGGCAAUGGGCGCAAGCCUGACCGAGCGACGCCGCGUGCGGGAUGAAGGCCUUCGGGUUGUAAACCGCUGUCGAGGGGAAUGAAGUGUAGGUGGGUACUCCCAUCUAUUUGACAGAUCCCUGGAGGAAGCAUGGGCUAAGUUCGUGCCAGCCGCCGCAGUAAGAC